rnacentral:rRNA from 1 species
GACGAACGCUGGCGGCGUGCUUAACACAUGCAAGUCGAACGGAAAGGCCCUGCUUUUGUGGGGUGCUCGAGUGGCGAACGGGUGUGUAACACGUGAGUAACCUGCCCUUGACUUUGGGAUAACUUCAGGAAACUGGGGCUAAUACCGGAUAGGAGCUCCUGCUGCAUGGUGGGGGUUGGAAAGUUUCGGCGGUUGGGGACGGACUCGCGGCUUAUCAGCUUGUUGGUGGGGGAGUGGCUUACCAAGGCUUUGACGGGUAGCCGGCCUGAGAGGGUGACCGGCCACAUUGGGACUGAGAUACGGCCCAGACUCCUACGGGAGGCAGCAGUGGGGAAUAUUGCACAAUGGGCGGAAGCCUGAUGCAGCAACGCCGCGUGCGGGAUGACGGCCUUCGGGUUGUAAACCGCUUUCGCCUGUGACGAAGCGUGAGUGACGGUAAUGGGUAAAGAAGCACCGGCUAACUACGUG